GUGGGCAUAUGAGGCUAUCCCUGCUUUGGGUAGCAAAUGGGCGAUCAGAAGGGAGACUAGCUGCCCACGAAUGCUUCAUUGGCGAGCACAUGAAAAGCCAUCGGCUAAAGAUUUGAUAGUUAUCCUCGACGAUCCUCAGCUCGAAGUUCAUGCUGAGUUGGUUGUCUCGGUGGAAGAGGAGGAUGCAAUAUAUGUACGUGAAUUACUUGUUCCCCCUACUGAAGACGAUCCAGUAUUUGAGUCCGUUCCGGAUAGAAAUAUAGAGCGCCAUCCGGAACUUCCAC